rnacentral:lncRNA from 1 species
CGGUGAAUGGAGUUGAUCCGUGGGAUAUUGGGAAAGAUGUGGAGGAGGGAACGCAGACGGGAUGAAGGUUGGCUUGAUUCGGAAGAGCAAAUAUGGGAGACAUUCUUUGCAAUCAGUUCGGAUGUUGCAGACGCUGAUAAGAUUCUUACUCUGUUCCGAAGCAAGGAAAAUGUUCAUGGAUAAGAACGGGAAGGCUGGUAGAGUUGAUCCGGAAUGGGAAAGAUGCAGAGGAGGAGGAGAGUUGGAUUCGGGAUGAGCAUGGGAUUGUUGCGGAUGCAAUGGAUACAGAUAGCGAGCUCUUCCGUGAUGCUCGGGGAGAAAGAUUUGCUCGGAAAAACAGGGGGUUCUUUGGUCGGGUGAUCCCAUGCGAAUGUAGAGACGGAGAUGAUUCAUGGAUUUGGUUGUUUGGAAUCCUUACUGGGUUCGGAUUAUGAAGAGGUCCGUGGAUCUUGGCUGGGCGUGGAAGAAGUUUGGGAUCCGGUCGUGAAAGAAGGGAAUGGCUGGGAUAUGAAUGGGUUUGGGUGUGGGGUUUUGAGUGGCUGAUCACAAAUGGGAUGAUUGCUAAUCUACGGUCGUGGUAUGGGUUCAAGUAGUGCAUUGUGGAGAUGAUGAAACUAAUCUUGAGAGGUUGAACUUAAUUGGAUGUGGGAGCAACUAAACCAUNNNNNNNNNNNNNNNNNNNNUGGGGGUUCUUUGGUCGGGUGAUCCCAUGCGAAUGUAGAGACGGAGAUGAUUCGUGGAUUUGGUUGUUUGGAAUCCUUACUGGGUUUUGGAUAAUGAAGAGGUCCGUGGAUCUUGGCUGGGCGUGGAAGAAGUUUGGGAUCCGGUCGUGAAAGAAGGGAAUGGCUGGGAUAUGAAUGGGUUUGGGUGUGGGGUUUUGAGUGGCUGAUCACAAAUGGGAUGAUUGCUAAUCUACGGUCGUG